ensembl:snoRNA
AAAUAAUGAGAUCACUCCAAAUAGCUGAGGUUACCUGCAAAUUGUUUAGUGGCAAACAUGGUUUUCUGAGG